AUUGAACGCUAGCGGGAUGCUUUACACAUGCAAGUCGAACGGCAGCGCGGACUUUGGUCUGGCGGCGAGUGGCGAACGGGUGAGUAAUGUAUCGGAACGUGCCCAGUAGCGGGGGAUAACUACGCUAAAGCGUAGCUAAUACCGCAUACGCCCUACGGGGGAAACCAGAGGAUCGUAAGAACUUGCAAUAUUGGACCCGCCGAUAUCGGAUUAGCUAGUUGGUGGGGGAACGGCUCACCAAGGCGACGAUCCGUAGCGGGUUUGAGAGGACGACCGGCCACACUGGGACUGAGACACGGCCCAGACUCCUACGGGAGGCAGCAGUGGGGAAUUUUGGAAAAUGGGGGCAACCCUGCUCCAGCCAGCCCGCGUGUGGGAUGAAGGCCUUCGGGUGGUAAAGCACUUUUGGCAGGAAGGAAACGUGGCGGGCUAAUAACCCGUGGAACUGACGGUACCUGAAGAAUAAGCACCGGCUAACUACGUG
rnacentral:rRNA from 1 species